rnacentral:rRNA from 1 species
AUAUCAUUUAGCGGAGGACAAGAAAACAACUGUGAUUCCCUGAGUAACGGCGAGUGAACAGGGAUGAGCCUAUGCUUGAAUCCUCGAACGAAGGAAUCGGAGUACGAGGUUGUAGUGCAAGGGCCAGAGCGACCAUCCAUCAGUCAGAUGAAUUUUCAUGAAAGUUUGGCCAAGGAGGGCGAACGUCCCGUUACGUCUGUACGCGAGGGUGGUCAACGUUCUGGACUCCACGAGUCGCGCAGUUUGAUAGUGCUGUGCAAACCGGAGGUGUACUACUCCGAAGGCUAAAUAUUGCACCAAGACCGAUAGCGAACAAGUAGUGUGAACGAAAGAUGAAAAGCACUUUGGAAAGAGAGUGAAAAAGUCCUUGAAGUCGUUGAGCGCCAAGGGUAUGAGACCCAUUGUACAGCUGCGCCAGCGUGGCUUGUCAGUCCGUGUUGAUUCCUUCUCCAGGCGGAGACGUGCACCGAACUACUUCGGUAGAGCGGAAUGUCGCUGCCAUGGUAGCAAGGGAUCGACAUGUAGAGAAGGUCCUACAGCACAAGCUGUGGUCCUGCGUGGAUAGCGUGCGUCGCUUCGUCAGAGGUGGUCAUGCUAGUCAUACAGGAUUUCAUCUAGUUGGACGGCCUUCGCUUGCUGACUCCGGCAUUGUCGGAUGAAUGGUCUUCUACCA